AUGCUCGCUUCGGCAGCACAUAAACUAAAAUUGGAACGAUACAGAGAAAAUUAGCAUGGCCCCUGCGCAAGGAUGACACACAAAUUCGUGAAGCGUUCAAUAUUUUU
rnacentral:snRNA from 1 species